rnacentral:lncRNA from 1 species
AAUAGCCACAGUGGUCAGCCUGGGCAACAUAGCAAGACUUUAUCUCUAAAAAAAUUUUUUUUUAAACCAGGGAUAUUAGUAGAUGAUGGCUGUCAUCAUCACUGUCAUCAUUAUUAUAAUUUUCUACCACAUGUCUUGUCAGUGUUCAUAGUAGCCUUUUCUUAUGUUAGUUCGUGACUCAGAUCUCUGCUAGGUGGCAUCUCCUAACGCUGCAGUCUGGGUAAUGUCAUCAACAAAUCCCCAGUCCGAACAGACACUGAAGUGAGCUCGGCCUGUCUCGGGUCUGUCAUUACUUCUGCAGCCUCUGAUGAACCUCGCUUCUGGCCUCCUAAGGAUAAGCCAACGCCCCACCCCCUCUUUCUUUUGAUGAGUCCUUUUCCCUGCACGGAGCUUCUGGUGAAGGUGGUGGGAGUUGUUCUUGCAGAGCACAUGGGAGUCCAACGGCCUGGCAGUGGGCCAGGAUCUUGUUGCCAUGGUGACUGACACUGUUUUCGCUGAAAUUUUGCCAGAUCCUGAAGAUCUUCGUGGACAAUCUCUUUGCUAUCGUCCUGCUGAAGCAGGCCACAGCUGUGCGCUGCUUGGACAUGAGUGCCUCCCGUAAGAAGCUGGCCGUGGUAGAUGAAAAUGACACUUGCCUGGUGUAUGACAUCGACACCAAGGAGCUGCUUUUUCAGGAACCAAACGCCAACAGUGUGGCCUGGAACACCCAGUGUGAGGACAUGCUCUGCUUCUCGGGAGGAGGCAACCUCAACAUCAAAGCCAGCAUCUUCCCUGUGCACUGGCAGAAGCUGCAGGGCUUUGUGGUCGGCUACAAUGGCUCCAAGAUCUUCUGCCUCCACGUCUUCAUUUCUGCCGUGGAGGUGCCACAGGUAACUGGGAGCACCUGUCCACUCUCAGCACUGGCAAGGCCAGUAAGACCAGGGAAGCCGGGCCCCUGGCUGGUGCUUUGAGGAGAGAGUAGCAAGGAGAGAAGAAUGGCAGCUGUGAUGUCGUGGGAGGCAGUCUGGGCUUGGAACCUGCAGCCCUAUCUCCACUCCUUGCAACCUGUGUGACUGGGGGCAAGGAGCUCAACCUCCCUGUGCCUCAAUUUCUUCCUGGUCCCCCUUCUGGUAAGGAUUCAGAGGGGUAUACAGUGUUGUCAGCAGAGUGUAUUUUACAGAGAGCCCAGUGUGGGCCAAGUGGAGAGAGCAGCAAAGCCGGGAGUCCAGCAGGGUGUGUGUGUGUGAGCACAUGUGUGAUGGUGGUGAUGUGUGUGUGAGAGAGGGGGAAGAGAGAGAGAAUGAGUGGGUGGGGGGGGUGAGGCCUGAGGUCUGUGAGCCAAUAAGGGAGCAUGGGACUCUGCACAAGCCCCCUGAACUAGGAGGUGGCCACAGCAGAAAUGGGGCACUGAAGUGUGGAGCCACAGAAUGCGGGAGGGCAGAACCACAGACAGGAGGCUGAGAUUGACCUCCUGAGUGCAAGCUGGUCUCCCCUUCACCUCCUGCACCCCACGCAGAUGGUGCUUACCAUAGGAUUGCCGUAAAACAGAGACACGCACCAGCGAGAAACUUUAGCCCUUAGUAUCCCAUCCUCAGGACAGAAUCACUCUUAAACAUGUUGAAAUACAUCUGCUUAGAGCUUUUCUAUGUGUCUAUAUAAUGUAUGCAUAAUAUACAAUUAGAAGCAUGUGAUUUUAUAACAUUUUUAAACAAAAGUGGAAUCACACUGCAAAUACUGUUUCAUGACUUUUAUGUGUGUAAGUAUUGCUACCUAUAGAUGGAACCUCAGAUUUACUGUAUUCCCCAAGCCUGGACUGUAAACAAGACUUCUCAUCCCUUCCUCUAUGGCCAUCUUCUCAUUUCACCUCACAUUUGGUUAUGACAGCCCCAUCACUGUCUAUGAAGUGCUGGCUGUAAACUCGUCAUCUGGCCUUUUCACUCAGCAAUCUCCUGAAGCAUGGUUCUGUGUCAGUAAAUGUUCUUAUCCAGCAUGGCAAAAUGUUAAGGUAAUUGUAGACUCACAUAAGUUGCAGGAAAUAAUACAGAGAUCCCUUAUACCCUUUGCCCAGUUUCCCGCAAUGGUAACAGUGUGCAAAGCUCCAGGACGAUUUUGCCACCCAUGUUGGCAUGUGUAACCGCCCCCCACAGUCACGACACUGAACAUGGCCACCACCACAAGUGCCUAGUGUUGUGCUACCCUUUUACAGCCAGCGCCCCUCCCUCCUGCCCGGCCCCCCUGCGUUGUAUUUAUGGCUGCAUUUUGUCCUGUCUUGUGGAUGUUCCAUGGCGGACAGACAGGCUGAACAAACAAAGGGUGUGCAAAGAAGCCCAGAGCAGGAGAGAAGGCUCCCCAGCCUGGCUCUUGGUCAGCACAGUCACAGGCUGGCUCUGCCUCUCUUGGCUGCACUGUCCUGAAGCAGGAAAUAUGAGAAAAACAAGUAAAGGGAAAACAAGUCCAGUUGGAGCUAUGAUAACAUUAUCUGCAAGGCCAGGCAGGGGCCCCAAAGAAAUGGGAUCCAAGAGCAGGGACGAGAAAAGCAAGUUCUUAGUCUCCCCCUGGAAUUCUUUCCCCAUGCCAUCAUUCUUUGUUCUGCUCUUAUAACUAUUUUUGUAACUAUUUCUGCAAGUUUGCAAGGAUUUUAUAAGUUCAUGUUUUCCCAUCUAUGCAGGAUGGCAAAGGUCACAAGACAUGCCUGAAUUGCAAAACCUGUCACAGUUUGAUUAACUGCCUUUGUUCUGCUUCUGUAAGCUCGCUUUCCCCACCCCGCAAGUUUUGCACCACUGGCUAGCCACUCCCCUUCAGUCGCCUGAAUAAAAGUCAAGCCUGAUCUUUGUUCGUUGCUCAGCCUCUGGAUAUUAAUCCGCUGGGCCAGUGGCCACCUGAAUAAAAUCC